GAUGAACGCUGGCGGCGUGCCUAAUACAUGCAAGUCGAGCGAAGCGGGGACGGGUGAGUAACACGUGGAUAACCUCCUAUAAGACUGGGAUAAAUUCGGGAAACCGGAGCUAAACCGGAAACUUAUAGAUGGAUCCGCGCUGCAUUAGCUAGUUGGUAAGGUAACGGAUUACCAAGGCAACGAUGCAUAGCCGACCUGCGCGUGGGAUCGGCCACACUGGAACUUCGACACGGUCCAAACUCCUACGUGAGGCAGCAGUAGGGAAUCUGCCGCAAUGGUCGAAAGCCUGACGGAGAAACGCCGCGUGAGUGAUGAAGGUCUUCGGAUCGUAAAACUCUGUUAUUAGGGAAGCGGUACCUAAUCAGAAAGCCACGGCUAACUACGUGCCAGCAGCCGCGGUAAUUC
rnacentral:rRNA from 1 species